rnacentral:rRNA from 1 species
UACAGAGGGUGCAAGCGUUAAUCGGAAUUACUGGGCGUAAAGCGUGCGUAGACGGUUAUUUAAGUCAGGUGUGAAAGCCCCGGGCUCAACCUGGGAAUUGCAUUUGAGACUGAAUAGCUAGGGUGCGGAAGAGGGAAGCGGAAUUUCCGGUGUAGCGGUGAAAUGCGUAGAUAUCGGAAGGAACACCAGUGGCGAAAGCGGCUUCCUGGUCCAGCACCGACGUCAGGCACGAAAGCGUGGGGAGCAAACAGG